UUUUUUGAUAUUUUAAAAUUGCCCCAUAUAAAAUUUCAGAACUAAACCCUCAUUUCAACUGCUUGCUACCUUCUUCCUCUUCGCGAUGACCCUCCGCUUCUUCCCCUACCCUUGAGGCUUUGCUCUCAAAAAGCGCUGCCGUCACUGAUGACGACAUCACCGCUGUUGCUCCUCUUCAUAAUCAUCAUCAUGUUCCUCAUCAGUUCCCGCAGGUGUCCACCGUUGAAGGCUUAUCUUCCUCCGCGGCUGAGCCUUUUGCCAAUGGGAUUCAUGCUGCGGUAACAAGUGGAGUCUCAGCACCCUCGUUAUUAUCAGGAGGCGGUGGUGGUAAAGGAGAAGGGGCAGUUGCGAUGGCAAACCCUCAUUUCAACUGCUUGCUACCUUCUUCCUCUUCGCGAUGACCCUCCGCUUCUUCCCCUACCCUUGAGGCUUUGCUCUCAAAAAGCGCUGCCGUCACUGAUGACGACAUCACCGCUGUUGCUCCUCUUCAUAAUCAUCAUCCUGUUCCUCAUCAGUUUCCGCAGGUGUCCGCCGUUGAAGGCUCAUCCUCCUCCGCGGCUGAGCCUUUUGCCAAUGGGAUUCAUGCUGCGGUGGCAAGUGGAGUCUCAGCACCCUCGUUAUCAUCAGGAGGCGGUAGUGGUGAAGGAGAAGGGGCAGUUGCGGUGGCAAAGGAGAAGAGAAGGGCGGUGGAGGAACCAGUGGACAAGGCCAGCCUUCAGAAGCAGAGACGCAUGAUCAAGAAUCGUGAGUCUGCUGCUAGGUCUAUGAACGCAAACAGGCUGAAAAGAAAGAGGUUGAAGGAGAAGAAGGAGGUGCUUGAUGAGAAUGAGUGGUGGGACAAGAUAGGGAAGAUGAAGAUGCUUGGGAAAAAAAAGCCAUGCUUAUAAUAAAGGGAAAACUCUAGUUGUAAGCAAAGUUCCUUUGCCUGAUUACCGUGCAAAUCUUGACGAGCGUCAUGGAUCAACACAGAAAGAGAUAGAGUAUAUCUUCCCUUUUUCAAUGUCUGAUUUCUGUUUUUGUGUGGAAGGAUUUAGAAAUGUACUUAACUUUGUUAAGUGUUCUGAAAAUUAGAAUGUCUACAGAUAUUGAACAAAGAGUAAGAAAUCUUUUGAAUAACUCACAAUCAGUGGGGGAAGCGUCUUCUAGUUUUCCUUCUGUAUCCACUGACUUGGGACAGAAACAAUCAUUAACUGCUACGAAAUCUAUCUCUUCACAACAGAGUGAUUUUUGAAAGGAUAAACUUAAUGUUGCUCUAAAGGAAAGGCAGGAACAACACAGCUUCCACAAUUCAUUCUGGAAGAGGAAAUAGGAUCCUUGCGCUGGGGCUGAUUGCAAACUAAUUUGUACUCAACCUUGUUUUUACUCAACUUUGUUGUAAUUUAUGUUAUUUGAUACUAGUUUUUUUGCCUAUUGCAUCGAGUUGUUUAACAAUAUUUGGAUCUUAUGCAACAAUAUUAUUUGAUUUUUUCCUUAA